GAUCUGGUGGUGUAGUGGUUAGAGCUUCCGUCUCAGAUGCGGGAGGUCGCGGGUUUGAACCCCGGUCGAUUCA